rnacentral:rRNA from 1 species
UACAGAGGGGGGCAAGCGUUAUUCGGAAUUAUUGGGCGUAAAGGGCGCGUAGGCGGCUAUCCAAGUGGCGGGUGAAAUCCCUCGGCUUAACCGAGGAACUGCCUGCCAGACUGGAUGGCUCGAGACCGGGAGAGGUGAGUGGAAUUCCCAGUGUAGCGGUGAAAUGCGUAGAUAUUGGGAGGAACACCAGUGGCGAAGGCGGCCACCUGGACCGGUUCUGACGCUGAUGCGCGAAAGCGUGGGUAGCAAACAGG